UACCUUUGCACUCGAAUAAGAAAAACUUAUUCAUACAUAAAAAUCAUUUAAAAUAAUAUUGGCAUG
rnacentral:ncRNA from 1 species